rnacentral:snRNA from 2 species
AUCGCCAGAAGAUCAAUUUCAGUUUACCUACGUACAUGGUUCUUGUCUUUUCCCAGAACCAUCCGGGAAUUGUCUUCAUUCAAUGGUGUAUCAAAUUUUUACUUUUUGGAAAAUUGUUUCAAGACUUUGUCUUGU